rnacentral:rRNA from 1 species
UUGAAAGGGAAACGAUUGAAGUCAGUCGUACCUGCGGGUAAUCAGCCUUUUGGGCAUGAUUCUGUGGAGCGUGAGGAGUUAAACGCCUUCAUGCCUGCAUAUUCGUGUACUUUUGGGUGUACUUGCCUGUGUGGUUAGUUAACAUCAAUUUUGGUUAUCAUAAAAUGGUUGGAGGAAUGUAGCUUCGAUUUCGAUUGAAGUGUUAUAGACUUCGGCAGAUGUGAUGAUCGGGAUUGAGGAUUGCAACGGAUACCCUUCGGGGCUACCUGUCUGGUCUCUGAUCGUUGCUCUGGUGCCGAAAGCUUGCUUACGGUUAUCAAAGUCGAUGGUCAAUAGGUUAGAACGGGUUAAAUUCGUUAAGGAUGUUGACGUA